ensembl:lncRNA
GUUCUGAGUGUUUCUGCUAGGUGUCGUAGUGGUGUGUUGGUAAAGUUCUGAGUGUUUCUGCAGGCUAGGUGUCGUAGUGGUGUGUUGGUAAAGUUCUGAGACUGUUUCUGCAGGCUAGGUGUCGUAGUGGUGUGUUGGUAAAGUUCUGAGAGUGUUUCUGCAGGCUAGGUGUCGUAGUGGUGUGUUGGUAAAGUUCUGAGUGUUUCUGCUAGGCGUCGUAGUGGUGUGUUGGUAAAGUUCUGAGUGUUUCUGCUAGGCG